CACAAUGAUGUGCAUAUGUCGACCAACUUUUCUGGGGACAGUAAAGUUACUUUGGUUGGAUGCGAAGAGAACACAGCGGAGUGUGGUGCACAAUUGAAUUCUUCUAGUAUGGAUAUGCACCACAAUGACAGUGGCCCAGUAUUGACAUCUGAUGACAAGCCGCCAGAAUCAAUCAACGAAGAUUCUGCAGCUAUGUCCUCCUUAAAUGUUAAGAAAGAGGUUAAUGCGGCAGGGGAAGGAGCUGACCUGUCUCGGGAGCUAAACUGGGCCAGAGAUGUUAAUGCCCCAAAUUUGAAACUCAAAGCAAGAAGUCCAUUCUCGGAUGAACAUAAGAUUAUUGGCUGCGCUAAUGAAACAACUAUAGAGAAUGGUGUAGUAGUUUUAGCAGAAGCU
rnacentral:lncRNA from 1 species